UUUACCACUUACCGAAUAGUAUACGUAAAAAAACUUUCAAUAAUAUCGAAAAUGAGAAAAAUCACGUGAAAGAACAAAAAAAAUAUAAUAUAGAAGUAGGUGAAACGGCAGCAAAGCGUCUUUUUAGCGUCUCUUUAGUGUUUUCCUUCUCGUGCACUAUACUUCUAUUAUCCAGUUUGCGCGGGUUUUGAUUUAAUUUCCUUUCAUAUUUUUCACUUCUUUCGCAUAUUUUUAAUGUUUACUUACCCACCCUUAUAUAUUAAAUGAUACAUUAUCUAAAUUAUCACGAAAUAAUAACGCGCACAACAAAGAAGAAACACAUAAAGCAAAAAUGCGACAAAAAAAACGUGGACAUUAGCAUGCCUUAAUAUUAAGUAAAUAUUGUAUUUUUAUUUGACUCGCCAUUUUGCUGUACUUUUCACUUUUUCAUAAACUUAAAUGAACACUUGUCUAUCAAAAUCUAUUAAACACUUUUACACCCGAUCAGGAGAACCGCUUACUUCGAAGUGAUCGCGGGGUUCGCUACAAAGAGGAGUGUCAAAAUAUUUCGUAUAUAAGUUAACACGGUCACCCAGCAACAAGAAAGUUCCCAGGCUAAUCCCACAUAACCAGACGGGAAUAAUGCAAGGCCAGCGCCACCUGCGGACAUUGCACAACGACGGUGCUAUGGUCAGCACAAUCAGCGGGCAGUGCACUGCGACGGAAGCAGCGGCUGCCCAACUCAAUGCACGAGGCGCCGGGUCAGCAGUUUCAGAGCAUAGGGCUAGCUUACAUUUUAAGAAUUGAUGUACUUAGCAAAGACCCUCGAACAGUUAACAAAAAUAAUAAUAAAAAAAAAUGUAAUAAAUAAAAACAGAACCAACAGCAGCAGCAGCAUUAACAACAUAAUUAAAUACGUCAACGUCGUCAUACCAGGAACUGGCAGCAACAACAUGAGAAAGAUCAGGAGGAAGGAAACUACAACGAGCACCAGCAGCGGCAACAACAUUUUAAUUUAAAAAAAUUAAAAUUCAAACCAUGUUUUGGAAAAUAAUACUUCUCGCCGUAUCCAUAACAGCAAAAAUGACCAACUACACGACUUCAAAUUACAUACCAAUCAUGGACGGGGAUGUAACUAUUUGGAGAGAAUUCCAAUACCUAAAGCACUCAAGUAACCUAACCCUGUUCUCGGAAUUAGUAAAGGAAACAGAAGAAAUGAGAAACCAUUUCCCUUAGUCACAUAUGAGACAAAUAUUAGAUUCAGAUUUACGACACAUUAGGACUCUCAUAAGUACAGUAAAUAUUCAUCAUUAAUUUAUUAAGUACUGCAUUAAAAAUUGUAGCCGGUACUCCAGAUUUCGAUGACUUCGAGAACAUAAAAUUUACACAGAAGGAAAUCAUAGAAUCAGAAAACAGGCAAAUAAAUUUUAACACAAACCCCCAGGAACAAAUAAACAGCAUAACAAACGCGGUAAUCAUUUUGGUAAAAAAUGCAAAAACAAAACAGAUAAAUACAGAAAAUUUAUAUGAAAA